rnacentral:rRNA from 1 species
UAAUACGGGGGGAGCAAGCGUUGUUCGGAUUUACUGGGCGUAAAGGGCGCGUAGGCGGUCAGCACAAGUCAGUUGUGAAAUCUCCGGGCUUAACUCGGAAAGGUCAACUGAUACUGUGCGACUAGAGUGCAGAAGGGGCAACUGGAAUUCUCGGUGUAGCGGUGAAAUGCGUAGAUAUCGAGAGGAACACCUGCGGCGAAGGCGGGUUGCUGGGCUGACACUGACGCUGAGGCGCGAAAGCCAGGGGAGCGAACGGGAUUAGAUACCCUGGUAGUCCACGCCGUAAACGAUGGGUACUAGGUGCCUGGGGGAGCGACCCUCUGGGUGCCGGCGCUAACGCAGGAAGUACCCCGCCUGGGGAGUACGACCGCAAGGUUG